UCUGGUUGAUCCUGCCUGAACUGAUGUGUUCAUUUCAAAGAUUAAGCCAUGCAUGUAUAAGUUUAAUCGUUUUAACGAGAAACCGCGAACGGCUCAUUACAAUGGCCAUGAUUUACUUGAUCUUGAUUAUCUAAAUGGAUAACUGUGGAAAAGCUAGAGCUAAUACAUGCACCAAAGCUUUGUCCUCUCGGAAAAGCGCAUUUAUUAGAACAAAACCACGCGGCUUCGGCUGCUUCUUGUUGACUCAGAAUAACUAAGCUGACCGCAUGGCCUUGUGCCGGCGGCGUGUCUUUCAAGCGUCCACUUUAUCAACUUGACGGGAGCAUAAUCGACUCCCGUGGUGGUGACGGAUAACGGAGGAUCAGGGUUCGACUCCGGAGAAGGGGCCUGAGAAAUGGCCACUACGUCUAAGGAUGGCAGCAGGCGCGCAAAUUACCCACUCUCGGCUCGAGGAGGUAGUGACGAGAAAUAACGAGAUCGUUCUCUUUGAGGCCGGUCAUCGGAAUGGGUACAAUUUAAACCCUUUAACGAGUAUCAAGCAGAGGGCAAGUCUGGUGCCAGCAGCCGCGGUAACUCCAGCAUCUGCUAAUACAUAGAAUUAUUGCUGCGGUUAAAAAGCUCGUAGUUGGAUUCGUAUCGGUACCCUGGAACCCUCCGGGUGUUUCUGGGUGUUAUCGAUUUAUCGUAAUGUUCGGUUUUGAGUCCUUAACAGGAUUCUUAACAGGCAUUGUAAGUUUACUUUGAACAAAUCAGAGUGCUUCAAACAGGCGUUUUCGCUUGAAUGAACGUGCAUGGAAUAAUAGAAAACGAUUUCGGUUCAGUUUUAUUGGUUUUACGGACUGAGAUAAUGGUUAACAGAGACAAACGGGGGCAUUUGUAUGGCCCCGUGAGAGGUGAAAUUCUUGGACCGUGGCCAGACAAACUACAGCGAAAGCAUUUGCCAAGAAUGUCUUCAUUAAUCAAGAACGAAAGUCAGAGGUUCGAAGGCGAUCAGAUACCGCCCUAGUUCUGACCGUAAACGAUGCCAACUAGCGAUCCGCCGAUGGAAAUUAUAUUGCCUUGGUGGGGAGCUUCCCGGAAACGAAAGUCUUCCGGUUCCGGGGGAAGUAUGGUUGCAAAGCUGAAACUUAAAGGAAUUGACGGAAGGGCACCACCAGGAGUGGAGCCUGCGGCUUAAUUUGACUCAACACGGGGAAACUCACCCGGCCCGGACACUGUGAGGAUUGACAGAUUGAUAGCUUUUUCAUGAUUCAGUGGAUGGUGGUGCAUGGCCGUUCUUAGUUCGUGGAGUGAUUUGUCUGGUUUAUUCCGAUAACGAGCGAGACUCUAACCUACU
rnacentral:rRNA from 1 species